ACGGGUGAGUAACGCGUGGGAACGUGCCUUCCGGUUCGGAAUAACCCUGGGAAACUAGGGCUAAUACCGGAUACGCCCUUAUGGGGAAAGGUUUACUGCCGGAAGAUCGGCCCGCGUCUGAUUAGCUAGUUGGUGGGGUAACGGCCUACCAAGGCGACGAUCAGUAGCUGGUCUGAGAGGAUGAUCAGCCACACUGGGACUGAGACACGGCCCAGACUCCUACGGGAGGCAGCAGUGGGGAAUAUUGGACAAUGGGCGCAAGCCUGAUCCAGCCAUGCCGCGCGAGUGAUGAAGGCCUUAGGGUUGUAAAGCUCUUUUAUCCGGGACGAUAAUGACGGUACCGGAGGAAUAAGCCCCGGCUAACUUCGUGCCAGCAGCCGCGGUAAUACGAAGGGGGCUAGCGUUGCUCGGAAUCACUGGGCGUAAAGGGCGCGUAGGCGGCGUUUUAAGUCGGGGGUGAAAGCCUGUGGCUCAACCACAGAAUGGCCUUCGAUACUGGGACGCUUGAGUAUGGUAGAGGUUGGUGGAACUGCGAGUGUAGAGGUGAAAUUCGUAGA
rnacentral:rRNA from 1 species